rnacentral:rRNA from 1 species
GGUUAAGCGACUAAGCGUACACGGUGGAUGCCCUGGCAGUCAGAGGCGAUGAAGGACGUGCUAAUCUGCGAUAAGCGUCGGUGAGGUGAUAUGAACCGUUAUAACCGGCGAUUUCCGAAUGGGGAAACCCAGUGUGUUUCGACACACUAUCAUUAACUGAAUCCAUAGGUUAAUGAGGCGAACCGGGGGAACUGAAACAUCUAAGUACCCCGAGGAAAAGAAAUCAACCGAGAUUCCCCCAGUAGCGGCGAGCGAACGGGGAGGAGCCCAGAGCCUGAAUCAGUGUGUGUGUUAGUGGAAGCGUCUGGAAAGGCGUGCGAUACAGGGUGACAGCCCCGUACACAAAAAUGCACAUAUUGUGAGCUCGAUGAGUAGGGCGGGACACGUGGUAUCCUGUCUGAAUAUGGGGGGACCAUCCUCCAAGGCUAAAUACUCCUGACUGACCGAUAGUGAACCAGUACCGUGAGGGAAAGGCGAAAAGAACCCCGGCGAGGGGAGUGAAAAAGAACCUGAAACCGUGUACGUACAAGCAGUGGGAGCCUCUUAAUGGGGUGACUGCGUACCUUUUGUAUAAUGGGUCAGCGACUUAUAUUCUGUAGCAAGGUUAACCGAAUAGGGGAGCCGAAGGGAAACCGAGUCUUAACUGGGCGUUAAGUUGCAGGGUAUAGACCCGAAACCCGGUGAUCUAGCCAUGGGCAGGUUGAAGGUUGGGUAACACUAACUGGAGGACCGAACCGACUAAUGUUGAAAAAUUAGCGGAUGACUUGUGGCUGGGGGUGAAAGGCCAAUCAAACCGGGAGAUAGCUGGUUCUCCCCGAAAGCUAUUUAGGUAGCGCCUCGUGAAUUCAUCUCCGGGGGUAGAGCACUGUUUCGGCAAGGGGGUCAUCCCGACUUACCAACCCGAUGCAAACUGCGAAUACCGGAGAAUGUUAUCACGGGAGACACACGGCGGGUGCUAACGUCCGUCGUGAAGAGGGAAACAACCCAGACCGCCAGCUAAGGUCCCAAAGUCAUGGUUAAGUGGGAAACGAUGUGGGAAGGCCCAGACAGCCAGGAUGUUGGCUUAGAAGCAGCCAUCAUUUAAAGAAAGCGUAAUAGCUCACUGGUCGAGUCGGCCUGCGCGGAAGAUGUAACGGGGCUAAACCAUGCACCGAAGCUGCGGCAGCGACACUAUGUGUUGUUGGGUAGGGGAGCGUUCUGUAAGCCUGUGAAGGUGGCCUGUGAGGGUUGCUGGAGGUAUCAGAAGUGCGAAUGCUGACAUAAGUAACGAUAAAGCGGGUGAAAAGCCCGCUCGCCGGAAGACCAAGGGUUCCUGUCCAACGUUAAUCGGGGCAGGGUGAGUCGACCCCUAAGGCGAGGCCGAAAGGCGUAGUCGAUGGGAAACAGGUUAAUAUUCCUGUACUUGGUGUUACUGCGAAGGGGGGACGGAGAAGGCUAUGUUGGCCGGGCGACGGUUGUCCCGGUUUAAGCGUGUAGGCUGGUUUUCCAGGCAAAUCCGGAAAACCAAGGCUGAGGCGUGAUGACGAGGCACUACGGUGCUGAAGCGACAAAUGCCCUGCUUCCAGGAAAAGCCUCUAAGCAUCAGGUAACAUCAAAUCGUACCCCAAACCGACACAGGUGGUCAGGUAGAGAAUACCAAGGCGCUUGAGAGAACUCGGGUGAAGGAACUAG